rnacentral:snRNA from 1 species
AUCGCUUCUCGGCCUUUUGGCUAAGAUCAAGUGUAGUAUCUGUUCUUAUCAGUUUAAUAUCUGAUACGUCCCCAUCGGGGGACUACAUAUUAAAUGGAUUUUUCGAACAGGGAGUCGGAAAUGGGGCUUGCUCCGUCCGCUCCACGCAUCGACCCGGUAUUGCAGUACCUCCGGGAACGGUGCAACACUU